UACAGAGGGUGCGAGCGUUAAUCGGAAUUACUGGGCGUAAAGCGCACGUAGUCGGCUUUGCAAGUCGGGUGUGAAAUCCCCGGGCUCAACCUGGGAACUGCAUCCGAGACUGCAUUGCUAGAGUAUGGGAGAGGGAAGCGGAAUUUCUGGUGUAGCAGUGAAAUGCGUAGAUAUCGGAAGGAACUCCGGCGGCGAAAGCGAUGCACUGGCUGGUUUCUGACGCUGAGGUGCGAAAGCCAGGGGAGCAAACGGG
rnacentral:rRNA from 1 species